GACGAACGCUGGCGGCGUGCCUAAUACAUGCAAGUAGGACGCAGUUGCGAACGGGUGAGUAACGCGUAUGUAAAUGCCUAUUAGAGGGGGAUAACUAUUGGAAACGAUAGCUAAUACCGCAUACUAGUGGGUGGAACUGCGUUGUAUUAGCUAGUAGGUCGGGUAAUGGCCUACCUAGGCGGCGAUACAUGGCCGACCUGGGAGGGAGAUCGGGCCCAAUGGGACUGAGACCCGGCCCAGACUCCCACGGGAGGCAGCCGUUGGGAAUCUUCGGCAAUGGGGGGAACCCUGAACGCGCAACGCCGCGUGAGUGAAGAAGGUCUUCGGAUCGUAAAGCUCUGUUGUUAAGGAAGCGGUACCUAACCAGAAAGGGACGGCUAACUACGUGCCAGCAGCCGCGGUAAUUC
rnacentral:rRNA from 1 species